ACUCAAAUGAAUUGACGGGGGCCCGCACAAGCGGCGGAGCAUGUGGCUUAAUUCGAAGCAACGCGAAGAACCUUACCUGGGUUGAACUACGCCGGAAAAGCCGUAGAGAUGCGGUGUCCUUCGGGGCCGGCGAUAGGUGGUGCAUGGCUGUCGUCAGCUCGUGUCGUGAGAUGUUGGGUUAAGUCCCGCAACGAGCGCAACCCUCGUCCCAUGUUGCCAGCGGGUUAUGCCGGGCACUCGUGGGAGACUGCCGGGGUCAACUCGGAGGAAGGUGGGGAUGACGUCAAGUCAUCAUGCCCCUUAUGCCCAGGGCUGCACACAUGCUACAAUGGCCGGUACAACGGGCUGCAACCUCGCGAGAGGAAGCCAAUCCCUGAAAGCCGGUCUCAGUUCGGAUUGUAGUCUGCAACUCGACUGCAUGAAGUCGGAGUCGCUAGUAAUCCCGGAUCAGCAACGCCGGGGUGAAUACGUUCCCGGGCCUUGUACACACCGCCCGU
rnacentral:rRNA from 1 species